CCUACGGGAGGCAGCAGUGAGGAAUAUUGGUCAAUGGACGAGAGUCUGAACCAGCCAAGUAGCGUGAAGGAUGACUGCCCUAUGGGUUGUAAACUUCUUUUAUAUGGGAAUAAAACGUUCCACGUGUGGGAUUUUGUAUGUACCAUAUGAAUAAGGAUCGGCUAACUCCGUGCCAGCAGCCGCGGUAAUACGGAGGAUCCGAGCGUUAACCGGAUUUAUUGGGGUUAAAGGGAGCGUAGGUGGAUUGUUAAGUCAGUUGUGAAAGUUUGCGGCUCAACCGUAAAAUUGCAGUUGAAACUGGCAGUCUUGAGUACAGUAGAGGUGGGCGGAAUUCGUGGUGUAGCGGUGAAAUGCUUAGAUAUCACGAAGAACUCCGAUUGCGAAGGCAGUUCACUGGACUGCAACUGACACUGAGGCUCGAAAGUGUGGGUAUCAAACAGGAUUAGAUACCCUUGUAGUC
rnacentral:rRNA from 1 species